GAUUUCUUAGGUGAUGAGAGCCUUUGCCUUUACUUACUUAUCACUGACUUACUCAUCCAUUUCCUCAAAGGCACUGUGAGAGUUCCCUGUGGCCAAGAACUGUGCCUUGCAUCUUGAAGCACUGAGAAGUCAAUUAAUGUUCCUGUGAAAAGACUGAAUGAUGAGUUGAAUGAUGGAAAAGGCAUAAGACUGGCACAAGCAGUUUUGGAGUCCAGCCAUCUUAACCAUUUUCAAGGAACAUCUGGCUUCCUUUGGGAAACUGAGAAGAAUGCCCAGUGUCAAAAUCAUUCUCUCAGUCUUAAAUGACCCAGCAGGAUUUAGCCGUCAUAUUUAACCAGAAAGGAAAUCAGCCCUGAAUAUUCACUGGAAGGACUGAUGCUGAAGCUGAAACUCCAAUACUUUAGCCACCUGAUGUGAAGAACUG
rnacentral:lncRNA from 1 species